rnacentral:misc_RNA from 1 species
AACGCACGAGACCUGCGGACCUGCGGAGGGAUCAUUAACGAACUGUCAAACGUGGUUGUUGCUGGCCUUCAAACGGAGGCAUGUGCACGCUUCGUUUACAACAUCCACUUCACACCUGUGCACCCUCUGUAGCUCUACGGGUCUGGGGAACCCUGUUCUCCUUCUGUAGCCCUACUUUUUUUUACACACACACUGUAACGAUGUCUUGUGGAAUGCAAUUCUGCGUUUAACGCGAUACAA